GACGAACGCUGGCGGCGUGCUUAACACAUGCAAGUCGAACGAUGAAGCUGGAGCUUGCUCCGGUGGAUUAGUGGCGAACGGGUGAGUAACACGUGAGCAAUCUGCCCUUGACCCUGGGAUAACUGCGGGAAACUGUAGCUAAUACCGGAUACGAGACCUGAAGGCAUCUUCGGGUCUGGAAAGAAUUUCGGUCAAGGAUGAGCUCGCGGCCUAUCAGCUUGUUGGUGAGGUAAUGGCUCACCAAGGCGCCGACGGGUAGCCGGCCUGAGAGGGUGACCGGCCCCGCUGGGAUGGAGUCACGGCCCAGACUCCUCCGGGAGGCAGCAGUGAGGAAUAUUGAACAAUGGGCCGAAGCACGAUGCAGCAACGCCGCGUGAGGGAUGAAGGCCUUCGGGUUGUAAACCUCUUUUAGCAGGGAAGAAGCGAAAGUGACGGUACCUGCAGAAAAAGCACCGGCUAACUACGUGCCAGCCGCCGCGGUAA
rnacentral:rRNA from 1 species